rnacentral:rRNA from 1 species
AUACGGAGGGGGCGAGCGUUAUUCGGAAUCAUUGGGCGUAAAGGGCGCGUAGGCGGCCUGACAAGUCAGGGGUGAAAUCCCUCGGCUCAACCGAGGAACUGCCUCUGAAACUGUCAGGCUUGAGGCCGUGAGAGGGUAGUGGAAUUCCCAGUGUAGCGGUGAAAUGCGUAGAUAUUGGGAGGAACACCAGUGGCGAAGGCGGCUACCUGGACCGGUUCUGACGCUGAGGCGCGAAAGCGUGGGUAGCAAACAGAAUUAGAAACCCUAGUAGUCC